rnacentral:rRNA from 1 species
AUUGAACGCUGGCGGCAGGCCUAACACAUGCAAGUCGAGCGGAGCGGCCGACUGGUGAGUAAGGCCUAGGAAGCUGCCUGGCAGUUGGGGAUAACGUCCGGAAACAGGCGCUAAUACCGCAUACUAUCAUAUGGGCCUAGGUAGGAUUAGCUAGUUGGUGGGGUAAAGGGCGACCCAGGCAACGAUCCGUAACUGGUUGGAGAGGAUGAUCAGUCACAGUGGAAAUGAGACACGGUCCAGACUCCGACGGGAGGCAGCAGUGGGGAAGAUUGCACAAUGGGCGAAAGCCUGAUGCAGCCAUGCCGCGUGUGUGAAGAAGGUUUUCGGAUUGUAAAGCACUUUAAGUGGGGAGGCGUUACCCAAAGAAUAAGCAACGGCUAACUUCGUGCCAGCAGCCGCGGUAAUUC